GAUGAACGCUGGCGGCGUGCCUAAUACAUGCAAGUCGAGCGAACGGACGAGAAGCUUGCUUCUCUGAUGUUAGCGGCGGACGGGUGAGUAACACGUGGAUAACCUACCUAUAAGACUGGGAUAACUUCGGGAAACCGGAGCUAAUACCGGAUAAUAUUUUGAACCGCAUGGUUCAAAAGUGAAAGACGGUCUUGCUGUCACUUAUAGAUGGAUCCGCGCUGCAUUAGCCAGUUGGUAAGGUAACGGCUUACCAAGGCAACGAUGCAUAGCCGACCUGAGAGGGUGAUCGGCCACACUGGAACUGAGACACGGUCCAGACUCCUACGGGAGGCAGCAGUAGGGAAUCUUCCGCAAUGGGCGAAAGCCUGACGGAGCAACGCCGCGUGAGUGAUGAAGGUCUUCGGAUCGUAAAACUCUGUUAUUAGGGAAGAACAUAUGUGUAAGUAACUGUGCACAUCUUGACGGUACCUAAUCAGAAAGCCACGGCUAACUACGUGCCAGCAGCCGCGGUAAUACGUAGGUGGCAAGCGUUAUCCGGAAUUAUUGGGCGUAAAGCGCGCGUAGGCGGUUUUUUAAGUCUGAUGUGAAAGCCCACGGCUCAACCGUGGAGGGUCAUUGGAAACUGGAAAACUUGAGUGCAUAAGAGGAAAGUGGAAUUCCAUGUGUAGCGGUGAAAUGCGCAGAGAUAUGGAGGAACACCAGUGGCGAAGGCGACUUUCUGGUCUGUAACUGACGCUGAUGUGCGAAAGCGUGGGGAUCAAACAGGAUUAGAUACCCUGGUAGUCCACGCCGUAAACGAUGAGUGCUAAGUGUUAGGGGGUUUCCGCCCCUUAGUGCUGCAGCUAACGCAUUAAGCACUCCGCCUGGGGAGUACGACCGCAAGGUUGAAACUCAAAGGAAUUGACGGGGACCCGCACAAGCGGUGGAGCAUGUGGUUUAAUUCGAAGCAACGCGAAGAACCUUACCAAAUCUUGACAUCCUUUGACAACUCUAGAGAUAGAGCUUUCCCCUUCGGGGGACAAAGUGACAGGUGGUGCAUGGUUGUCGUCAGCUCGUGUCGUGAGAUGUUGGGUUAAGUCCCGCAACGAGCGCAACCCUUAAGCUUAGUUGCCAUCAUUAAGUUGGGCACUCUAAGUUGACUGCCGGUGACAAACCGGAGGAAGGUGGGGAUGACGUCAAAUCAUCAUGCCCCUUAUGAUUUGGGCUACACACGUGCUACAAUGGACAAUACAAAGGGCAGCGAAACCGCGAGGUCAAGCAAAUCCCAUAAAGUUGUUCUCAGUUCGGAUUGUAGUCUGCAACUCGACUACAUGAAGCUGGAAUCGCUAGUAAUCGUAGAUCAGCAUGCUACGGUGAAUACGUUCCCGGGUCU
rnacentral:rRNA from 1 species